rnacentral:rRNA from 1 species
UACGGAGGGAGCUAGCGUUGUUCGGAAUUACUGGGCGUAAAGCGCGCGUAGGCGGCUUUGUAAGUUAGAGGUGAAAGCCCGGGGCUCAACCCCGAAUUGCCUUUAAGACUGCAUCGCUUGAAUCCGGGAGAGGUGAGUGGAAUUCCGAGUGUAGAGGUGAAAUUCGUAGAUAUUCGGAAGAACACCAGUGGCGAAGGCGGCUCACUGGACCGGCAUUGACGCUGAGGUGCGAAAGCGUGGGGAGCAAACAGG